CUCCGCUGAGGAGAUCUUUUCUCAGAUCUAAAAUGUCUGGGGAAUAAGGGGAGGGCAAGUCUGGUGUCAGCCGCCGCGGUAAUACCAGCUCCUCGAGUGGUCAGGGCGUUUAUUGGGCCUAAAGCAUCCGUAGCCGGCUCAGUUGGUCUCCUGUUAAAUCCAACGGCUCAACCGUUGGUCUGCAGGAGAUACCGCUGGGCUAGGAGGCGGGAGAGGCGGACGGUACUCCGAGGGUAGGGGUAAAAUCCUUUGAUCCCCGGAAGACCACCAGUGGCGAAGGCGGUCCGCCAGAACGCGCUCGACGGUGAGGGAUGAAAGCUGGGGGAGCGAACCGGAUUAGAUACCCCCGUAGUCC
rnacentral:rRNA from 1 species